rnacentral:rRNA from 1 species
CACACUGGACUGAGACACGGUCCAGACUCCUACGGGAGGCAGCAGUGGGGAAUAUUGCACAAUGGGCGCAAGCCUGAUGCAGCCAUGCCGCGUGUGUGAAGAAGGCCUUCGGGUUGUAAAGCACUUUCAGUCGUGAGGAAGGUGGUGUAGUUAAUAGCUGCAUUAUUUGACGUUAGCGACAGAAGAAGCACCGGCUAACUCCGUGCCAGCAGCCGCGGUAAUACGGAGGGUGCGAGCGUUAAUCGGAAUUACUGGGCGUAAAGCGCAUGCAGGUGGUUUGUUAAGUCAGAUGUGAAAGCCCGGGGCUCAACCUCGGAAUAGCAUUUGAAACUGGCAGACUAGAGUACUGUAGAGGGGGGUAGAAUUUCAGGUGUAGCGGUGAAAUGCGUAGAGAUCUGAAGGAAUACCGGUGGCGAAGGCGGCCCCCUGGACAGAUACUGACACUCAGAUGCGAAAGCGUGGGGAGCAAACAGGAUUAGAUACCCUGGUAGUCCACGCCGUAAACGAUGUCUACUUGGAGGUUGUGGCCUUGAGCCNUGGCUUUCGGAGCUAACGCGUUAAGUAGACCGCCUGGGGAGUACGGUCGCAAGAUUAAAACUCAAAUG